GAUGAACGCUGGCGGCGUGCCUAAUACAUGCAAGUCGAGCGAACGGACGAGAAGCUUGCUUCUCUGAUGUUAGCGGCGGACGGGUGAGUAACACGUGGAUAACCUACCUAUAAGACUGGGAUAACUUCGGGAAACCGGAGCUAAUACCGGAUAAUAUUUUGAACCGCAUGGUUCAAUAGUGAAAGACGGUUUUGCUGUCACUUAUAGAUGGAUCCGCGCUGCAUUAGCUAGUUGGUAAGGUAACGGCUUACCAAGGCAACGAUGCAUAGCCGACCUGAGAGGGUGAUCGGCCACACUGGAACUGAGACACGGUCCAGACUCCUACGGGAGGCAGCAGUAGGGAAUCUUCCGCAAUGGGCGAAAGCCUGACGGAGCAACGCCGCGUGAGUGAUGAAGGUCUUCGGAUCGUAAAACUCUGUUAUUAGGGAAGAAGAUAUGUGUAAGUAACUGUGCACAUCUUGACGGUACCUAAUCAGAAAGCCACGGCUAACUACGUG
rnacentral:rRNA from 1 species